rnacentral:rRNA from 1 species
GUGGGGAAUAUUGGACAAUGGGGGGAACCCUGAUCCAGCCAUGCCGCGUGUGUGAAGAAGGCCUUUUGGUUGUAAAGCACUUUAAGCGAGGAGGAGGCUACCGAGAUUAAUACUCUUGGAUAGUGGACGUUACUCGCAGAAUAAGCACCGGCUAACUCUGUGCCAGCAGCCGCGGUAAUACAGAGGGUGCAAGCGUUAAUCGGAUUUACUGGGCGUAAAGCGCGCGUAGGUGGCCAAUUAAGUCAAAUGUGAAAUCCCCGAGCUUAACUUGGGAAUUGCAUUCGAUACUGGUUGGCUAGAGUAUGGGAGAGGAUGGUAGAAUUCCAGGUGUAGCGGUGAAAUGCGUAGAGAUCUGGAGGAAUACCGAUGGCGAAGGCAGCCAUCUGGCCUAAUACUGACACUGAGGUGCGAAAGCAUGGGGAGCAAACAGGAUUAGAUACCCUGGUGUCC